GACGAACGCUGGCGGCGUGCUUAACACAUGCAAGUCGAACGGUAAGGCCCUUCGGGGUACACGAGUGGCGAACGGGUGAGUAACACGUGGGUAAUCUGCCCUGCACAUCGGGAUAAGCCUGGGAAACUGGGUCUAAUACCGAAUAGGACCACAGGACACAUGUCCUGUGGUGGAAAGCUUUUGCGGUGUGGGAUGGGCCCGCGGCCUAUCAGCUUGUUGGUGGGGUGAUGGCCUACCAAGGCGACGACGGGUAGCCGGCCUGAGAGGGUGUCCGGCCACACUGGGACUGAGAUACGGCCCAGACUCCUACGGGAGGCAGCAGUGGGGAAUAUUGCACAAUGGGCGAAAGCCUGAUGCAGCGACGCCGCGUGGGGGAUGACGGCCUUCGGGUUGUAAACCUCUUUCACCAUCGACGAAGGUCCGGGUUUUCUCGGGCUGACGGUAGGUGGAGAAGAAGCACCGGCCAACUACGU
rnacentral:rRNA from 1 species